rnacentral:tRNA from 1 species
GCGGUGGUAGUCUAGCUUGGUUAGGACACGAGCUUGCCAAGCUCGCAGCGCGGGUUCGAAUCCCGCCCACCGCA